rnacentral:rRNA from 1 species
ACGGAAGGCAGCAGUGGGGAAUAUUGCACAAUGGGGGAAACCCUGAUGCAGCGACGCCGCGUGAGUGAAGAAGUUAUUCGUAACGUAAAGCUCUAUCAGCAGGGAAGAAAAUGACGGUACCUGACUAAGAAGCCCCGGCUAACUACGUGCCAGCAGCCGCGGUAAUACGUAGGGGGCAAGCGUUAUCCGGAUUUACUGGGUGUAAAGGGAGCGUAGACGGCAAAGCAAGUCUGAAGUGAAAUCCCGGGGCUCAACCCUGGAACUGCUUUGGAAACUGUUUAGCUAGAGUGCAGGAGAGGUAAGUGGAAUUCCUAGUGUAGCGGUGAAAUGCGUAGAUAUUAGGAGGAACACCAGUGGCGAAGGCGACUUUCUGGACUGUAACUGACACUGAGGUACGAAAGCGUGGGGAGCAAACAGGAUUAGAUACCCUGGUA